CUCUACACAAGACGGGCUGCCUCAGUCGCGGACGGACAAGCAGAUCGCCAUGGCGAUGGGUCCGGAUGCAAGCCUUCGCUGCCAGCGAUGUUCUUCCCUGGCCCCUCAUCGGAAGCAUCCACCCAGGUGCCCUGCUGUGUACCCCAUGUAGCUACAGAGACCAUGUACAGGUAGAAGACAGCGGAGGGCAAAGCAAGAGUUUUCUUUUAGGAAGGUGAAGAUUUAUUGACAAGAGGUGCAAGAUUCUAAGGGGCCGCUCAGUCUCCUGCCGCCAGAGCCGAUCUGGAACCUGGGAUAAUGGAAUCAGGCCUCUCUCCGCUGUUCCCGCCUAUCACGUCCCAGCACUCCGCGCCUCCUUGUCAACUGCCCUGCAGAGGGAGGAUUACAGUCAACAGAAGGAUUUAUGACUGUAUCGCUGUGCCAGGGGGGUGGUAGGGAAUGCAGAUGCAGCCAUGAUGUCUUUACAGAAGGGUGCAGAGAGGCUGGUUAAAUCAUGUUACACUGACUCAUAUCCUAUGAAUAAUUCCCAGUGUCUCACUUUGAACGUAAGAUAGACGUUGGCAUCACCCAAAAUGGAUAUGCAUCCUAUUUUUGUUCUUGGAAUUAAUUUUCAGGAAUUUUGCCCAAGUUUGUUUACUUCCAGGUCUGCAUCAGCCUUGUGAUGCCUUGCAAGCUUGGCUUCCACUCCUCCAAAACACUCCCUAACAAUCUGAUGACUUUUUUAACACAUCACAGGUAGUAGGGUGCUGGGACCAGUAGGAGGGACCACUGUAACCCAGACCUCCAAGCUCUAAAGCUGCAGGUGUCUGACUGGGUUUACCCAGUGGUUUAAGAGAAGGCUUCCUUUGAAAAGCACACUAGAUCCAAAUCGAUGAGAUUGUGAUCGAUAAAAUCUAAACCCAAGUUACAAAGUUGAUCAGCUCUUCACAUUUAGCAGAAUUUCCAAAUAAGUUUUGUUAUUGCAGUUCAGCAGGAGGCCAAGGCAAGUCUCUUUUCCAACAACAAAUCCCCAAGUGAUGCAGUUCAUUAUUGCUUUCAGAUUGACCAUACCACGAUAUUUGUUAUAAAUCCUCAUCCUAUUAACUAAAAACCCUAAUCCAAGAGGAGCCACUCAAGAGCCAGUGUACUGGUGUUGUUCUCUACCUUUCAUACGUCCGCUUCAUUCUGCUUCUGUUCACCAUUGCUUUGGUUCCAUGCCCUUCCACUCACAACUCUGCUUACCUUGGUCUCAGGGCCAUUCUCAAAGCUAC
rnacentral:lncRNA from 1 species